rnacentral:rRNA from 1 species
UACAGAGGGGGCAAGCGUUAUUCGGAAUUAUUGGGCGUAAAGGGCGCGUAGGCGGCUUUUCAAGUGACGGGUGAAAUCCCUCGGCUUAACCGAGGAACUGCCUGUCAGACUGGAAGGCUUGAGACCGGGAGAGGUGAGUGGAAUUCCCAGUGUAGCGGUGAAAUGCGUAGAUAUUUGGGAGGAACACCAGUGGCGAAGGCGGCUCACUGGACCGGAACUGACGCUGAGGCGCGAAAGCGUGGGGAGCAAACAGGG